rnacentral:snoRNA from 1 species
UCUAAUCUAAAUGAUGAGAAAUUUUUUCAUAUUAAACAGUUAUCCCUGUCUUAAUAAAUCAUGUCGAGAAUACCUAAUCUGAAAUCACA